UCCCUCCCACUAUUUCUCCCCCUUCUCUUCUCUUAAAAAUAACUGGCAAGCGGUUUGGGAAAACAAACCUCGUACUGGUGCUCAGGGGGUUGGUAGAAAAAGAGAAAGGAAAAAUGUUUCAGUACGUUUUUAAAAGCUGGUCCUAGCUCAAAAGCUCCUCCCAGUCGAACUGAACCACUGACGACGCUAAAAAGAGGCUGAUCCAGUGAGGAGAGGAGCGGGUCGCGCUGCAGUCAAGGGCAGAGGGUCCUGCGAUGAGGGUGGGGACUAAACUUAACCCUUAACUCAGUUGGGAUGAAAUCCAGCAGACACAGGGAGUCCCCAGGACCAGGGCUGGGAACCACUGCUCUAUAAGGUGUGGGGCAGCCAGGAUGGCACUGCCAAGGCACAGGGAUGUCAAACUCAGUUCUUGGAGGGCUGCAGUAUCUUCUGUCUUUCGUUCCACCCAAGCUCUCAAUCACUUAAUUUGUAUCAUCUUGUAUGGUCAGAGGCGACCUUACCCAUGUUUGACGUGUAUGUCUCUCUUGCAUCUGAACAUAAAGUGUGUCUGGAAAAUUAUUAUCAAUUGCAAUCAAACUGUAUGACAUUCUUUAUCACUAUUUAUUUAUUCAAAUCUGUGAAUCUGUCCAUCUGUCUAUGUGUCACACUUACAUUUUUCCAUAUUUAUAAAGGUUUCCCACAGUA